GUCCCAAGGCCCCAGAGCUGGAGCAGCCCAGGACCCGAAUGAAGCUGGCUCAGUGGGUGUGUCUCAUUCAUGUCAGGGCUGGAGAAAAGAGCCACAUACUGCGAGGCUCCUGCCCCCUCUGGCACUGGGCACCAGUCCAGAGCCCAGAGCGGUCCCCCCGUGAAGAAGGACACAUCCCAGCGCUCUGGAUGUGCUGUGAUCGAGCUAAAUCUAGAGAAAAAUCAAAGAUGGGAUGAAGAAAGGAAUUAAUGAAAGAAUCAGAAAAAAGGGCGGAUGUGCAAUCUUCACCUGUUUAUUCGGUAGAGGGUGCCAUCUUCAGGUAGCCCUUCACGUUGUACAGAAAACAAUGGAGACUUCUCCUCCUGGGGCAGUGGUGUCACCUUUCCUAAACUUCAGAGAUGUUGCUUCAACUUACAGCUCAGAUAACAAGUGCCACUUCCAGGCUAAAGGAAUCCAUUCAGCAAACUCCCAGUAUGAAUGUUUCUGCUCUCGGCUGGAGAAACAGAAGAAGCAUUAAUGAAGGAGGAGAGGGAUUCUAGAGCAGCACAGUCUAAUACAACUUUCUGUGGGGAUGGAAAUGAUCCAUUAUCUGUGCUGCCCAAUAUGCCAGAUGCUAGCUCCAAUUAGCUACUGAGCACUUAAAAUGUGACUAGCACAGCUGAGAAACAGCCUUUCAUUUUAUUUCACUUUAAUUAAAGAGUUCUAGAGCUCCUGCCUCUAGAGCAGUGCUUUUUAGUAAUGAAUGUCAUCACGGU